ensembl:lncRNA
GGAGAACGCAGUGAGGAUGUCUACAGAAGAGUACGACUGCUGGCUGCGUGGUAAAAUCGACAUUCCAUAGAGUGUAAAAGACAACAGAGGAUUUCUCUAACCCGUCUGGUCCGAUCCCACAGAAGAGCUACCGUAGCAGUGUGACGCUCUGGGUAAUGUUCUGCUGGGAAACCUUGGGUCCUGGCGUUCAUGUGGAUGUUACUCUGACACGUACCACCUACCUAGACGUCGCUGCAACCCGAGUACACACCUUCAUGGCGACGGUAUUCCCUAAUAGCAGUGUCCUCUUUCAGCAGGAUGAUGCGCCCUGACACACUGCAAACAUUGUUCAGGAACGGUCUGAGGAACAUGACGAAGAGUUCAAGGUGUUGACUCCGAUCUCAGUCCGAUCAGGCCUCUGUGGGACGAGUCCGAUCCAUGGAGGCCCCACCUCACAACCUACGGGACUAGUUGUACAGGAUCUGCUGCUAACGUCUCUAUGCCAGAUACCACAGCACACCUUCAGAGGUCUUGUGGAGUCCGUGCCUCGACGGGUCACAGCUAUUUUGGUGGCACAAGGUGGACGUACACAAUAUUAGGCUUCCUCAUCUCGAAAGGGAAAACCGAGACAUUUUCACCCUGAAGGGGUUUUCCCUGUAUAGCGAUGGACAGAAACAGGUGGGAUCCGGCUUUUAAUUUAAGCCCGGACUUCACCGUACGGGACACGGCAGCAUCAGCAGGGACAAGAUGGCACGGACAGAAAGUCCCACCGCUGACAUGUGAUCUCCCGCCGGUGUUCUCCACAGUGAAACCGUCCCUCGUCUGUAUCUCUACACUCUCGUCACCGUCCGGAACGUACCGCGUGACGCCGAAGAGCGUGGGCCGAUUUCUCGCCGGUUUCUUUACUUGGCGAUAAAAGAAACCGCAUCGGUCGUAUUUCUUUCGUCAAAACACACAGGCAGAGUGAAACUCGCUGCGUCAGAAACCCCAAACCUCAUUUCCUGCCACAGGAAGUUCACGACUAAUUAUACUGCAGUGUGAACGCACAGAGGCGUGGCGGUGCAAAAUAAAAUGUGAAGUCAAGUCGACGGGC